GCCAUCUCCCCCGGCCUCUAUCUCUAUCUCUCUCGUCUUGUCUUGGCCUCCUUGCCUUCUCCCCCCUCCGUGCCGUGGCCAGUGGGUGCUGUUGCAAGUUGCAACUUGUCCCUCCCAACCCAAGGCAGCAAGCAAAGCACAGCAGUGCUGUUGCUUCACGCCCGGCAGGAGCAGCGACGAGCCGACGAGAACAGCCAAGGAGAGAUCUGCAGACCGGUCGGUCGAUCGAGAUGAAGAGCCGGAGGCAGAGCAGCGGGGGCAGCUCGGGCGCCUGCGCCGCGGGGGAGAGGAACGCGCACAGCAGCGGCGGGGGGUGCAAGCUGGAGAGGAAGGACGUGGAGAAGAACCGGAGGCUGCACAUGAAGGGCCUCUGCCUCAAGCUCUCCUCCCUCAUCCCUCCCGCCGCCGCCACCACGCACGCCUCCCUCCUCUCCGACGCCGCGUCGGCGGCGGUGUCCUCCAAUCCCGGCAACAAGCAGGACGCGGUGACGCAGCUGGACCAGCUGGACAGCGCGGCGGCGUACAUCAAGCAGCUCAAGGAGCGGAUCGAGGCGCUGAAGCAGCGGAAGGCGGGCUGCUGCAACGGCGGCGGCGCGGCCACGGAGGCUGCAACGGCGGCGGCCGGGUCCACCGGCGGCGGCGGAGGCGUGCGCAUGCCGGUCAUCGAGGUGCGGUGCCAGGACGGGACGCUGGACGUGGUGCUCAUCAGCGAGGCCGCCAGGCCCUUCAAGCUGCACGAGGUCAUCACCGUGCUGGAGCAGGAGGGCGCCGAGGUGGUCAGCGCCAGCUUCUCCGUCAUCGGGGACAAGAUAUUCUACACCGUCCACUCGCAGGCGCUCAGCCCCAGGAUCGGCGUCGACGCCGCCAGGGUCUCCCAGAGGCUGCACGCGCUGCUGCUUGCUCCGACGAUCCUCGUCUGAGCUGAGAGAGACCUCCAGACCACGGCCUAUGCAACCACCGUGCUAAUGGCGUAGUAGUACUCUAGUAUAGUACUAGUACUGUAUGAGUUGGUAGUCAAAGCUGCAGCCUGCAGCAGAGAGCGGUGCAGUAGCGGGGAACUAUAAACCGCCGGCGCAUUCUUGCUGGUUUCUUUGCAGUUGUGCAUAUU
rnacentral:misc_RNA from 1 species